AACGCUAGCUACAGGCUUAACACAUGCAAGUCGAGGGGCAGCAUUAGGUAGCAAUACUGAGAUGGCGACCGGCGCACGGGUGCGUAACGCGUAUCCAACCUUCCCGUUACUCUCGGAUAGCCUUCCGAAAGGGAGAUUAAUACGAGAUGGUGUUGAAAUUCCGCAUGUUAUUUCAACUAAAGAUUCAUCGGUAACGGAUGGGGAUGCGUGACAUUAGGUAGAUGGCGGGGUAACGGCCCACCAUGCCUACGAUGUCUAGGGGUUCUGAGAGGAAGGUCCCCCACACUGGAACUGAGACACGGUCCAGACUCCUACGGGAGGCAGCAGUGAGGAAUAUUGGUCAAUGGUCGGAAGACUGAACCAGCCAAGUAGCGUGAAGGAUGAAGGUUCUAUGGAUUGUAAACUUCUUUUAUACGGGAAUAAAACCACCUACGUGUAGGUGCUUGUAUGUACCGUAUGAAUAAGCAUCGGCUAACUCCGUGCCAGCAGCCGCGGUAAUACGGAGGAUGCGAGCGUUAUCCGGAUUUAUUGGGUUUAAAGGGAGCGUAGACGGGAGAUUAAGUCAGUUGUGAAAGGCUGCGGCUCAGCCGCAGCACUGCAGUUGAUACUGGUUUCCUUGAGUGCGGUUGAGGUAUGUGGAAUUCGUGGUGUAGCGGUGAAAUGCUUAGAUAUCACGAAGAACUCCGAUUG
rnacentral:rRNA from 1 species